rnacentral:rRNA from 1 species
UACCAGCUCUCCGAGUGGUAGGGAUGAUUAUUGGGCUUAAAGCGUCCGUAGCCGGCUUAGCAAGUCUCCUGUUAAAUUCAGCGACCUAAUCGUUGAGCCGCGGGAGAUACUACUAGGCUAGGAGGCGGGAGAGGUCGACGGUACUUCCGGGGUAGGGGUGAAAUCCUAUAAUCCCGGGAGGACCACCAGUGGCGAAGGCUGUUGACUAGAACGCGCUCGACGGUGAGGGACGAAAGCUGGGGGAGCGAACCGGAUUAGAUACCCGGGUAGUCCCAGCUGUAAACGAUGCGAGCUAGGUGUUGGGGUGGCUACGUGCCACUUCAGUGCCGCAGGGAAGCCAUUAAGCUCGCCGCCUGGGGAGUACGGCCGCAAGGCUGAAACUUAAGGAAUUGGCGGGGAGGCACCACAAGGCGUGAAGCUUGCGGUUC